GAACAGCGCUUAGCCGUGGUUUAUUAGCCAUAUACCACACCUCCUCAGGCCCUUUUGCUUAAUUAUACCAUGGCAUUGUUGAAUACUCAUUUCCGAUUGGCUUGAAGGGCAUUCUAGAGCACGCAUUAUUUCCCUAUAGCCCACAGUAUAUUUGCACGGUAAACUUCAAUGGAUAUAGUUCUUCCAUGUUCUAUAUUUGAGCUGCUUCUGAAACAAAAGUCGAAUUGAAAACCUUUAUUGGCUUUGUUGAAUUGGAUUUUCAUAAUAGCAAGCUAGGACCGAUGGUUUGGAUAGCAAGGCGAUUACUGUCACUGUCUAGUAAAACUUGCUAGCUACUUCAGUGGAUGUUGAACACAUUUCUACCAGCAAAUUAACCCAUUUCUAGCGCUAGAUCAACAACAGGAUCUGGAAGUAAUCACGGAGGAGCAUCCCAUAUCACCACAGAAGGGACAACUUCCAACUCCCCCAAACCACUCUCAUCAGCAAGCUUUCCAACUGACCAACCAAAACCACUGCGUUUUCUAGUAGUAUAUUCCCAACAGUCAUCUUGAAAAGUAGCAGUGGGAUGCUCAACCCCACAGCCUUUCAACCUAACCCAAUAAGCUAAUGACAAUUUUUUAUGCCAUAUAUCCAAAGGCAUCUCACCUGCCUCCACUUGUAAAGUACAUACAGAUGCUGAUUUAAAUGCACCAAUACAUAUCCUUAAAGCUAUAUACUGGAUUCUGUCCAGCUUCUGAAGCCAAGUGUUCGUCACUGUUCCAUAAACUACGCAUCCUUAAUCAA